CUUUCACAUACAAUCACGGAUCUGUGCUUUGCGGUCCCUUGGUCCUCCGGGAUUUCAGGGUCGACUGCUCUGCAGCUCGAUAACUUCAUGGAGCCAUCAACCUGCUAUGGUGGUAAUAAUCCUAUCGACAGGUCCCAGAACAACUGGCCCCGACGGUCCGGCUCGUCGUCGCAAGACGGCUUGAGCUUGGCCGUCGGUGGUCGGAGGCGCUAUAUUCCAAACCCCUUUUCCGAGAUCGUCGGUCGGUGAGGUUGGGGCAAACCAUUGCCUGUCUACAUUU
rnacentral:sRNA from 1 species